rnacentral:ncRNA from 2 species
ACCGGCGCUGCCCCCGCAACUGUAAGUGGCGAGCCCGCGGCAACGGCCACUGAUCCCAUCCGUCAGGAGGGGUCGGGAAGGCGCCGUCGGCGAUGACCCUCAGCCAGGAGACCUCCGCGUCGCCCUUCCCAAUC